CUACGGGUGGCUGCAGUGAGGAAUUUUGCGCAAUGGGGGUAACCCUGACGCAGCAACGCCGCGUGAGUGAUGAAGGCUUUCGGGUCGUAGAGCUCUGUCAAGUGGGAAGAAUAUACGAAAUGCUAAUACCAUUUUGUACUGACGGUACCACUGAAGGAAGCACCGGCUAACUCCGUGCCAGCAGCCGCGGUAAUACGGGGGGUGCAAGCGUUAUUCGGAAUUAUUGGGCGUAAAGAGCACGUAGGCGGCCGCUUAAGUCAGAUGUGAAAGCCCGGGGCUCAACCCCGGAAGUGCAUUUGAAACUAAGUGGCUUGAGUAUGGGAGAGGGAAGUGGAAUUCCUGGUGUAGAGGUGAAAUUCGUAGAUAUCAGGAGGAACACCGGUGGCGAAGGCGACUUCCUGGACCAAUACUGACGCUGAGGUGCGAAGGCGUGGGGAGCAAACAGGAUUAGAUACCCGUGUAGUC
rnacentral:rRNA from 1 species